rnacentral:rRNA from 1 species
GCGUGGGGAGCAAACAGGAUUAGAUACNNNGGUAGUCCACGCCGUAAACGAUGAGUGCUAAGUGUUAGAGGGUUUCCGCCCUUUAGUGCUGCAGCUAACGCAUUAAGCACUCCGCCUGGGGAGUACGGUCGCAAGACUGAAACUCAAAGGAAUUGACGGGGGCCCGCACAAGCGGUGGAGCAUGUGGUUUAAUNUCGAAGCAACGCGAAGAACCUUACCAGGUCUUGACAUCCUCUGACAACUCUAGAGAUAGAGCGUUCCCCUUCGGGGGACAGAGUGACAGGUGGUGCAUGGUUGUCGUCAGCUCGUGUCGUGAGAUGUUGGGUUAAGUCCCGCAACGAGCGCAACCCUUGAUCUUAGUUGCCAGCAUUUAGUUGGGCACUCUAAGGUGACUGCCGGUGACAAACCGGAGGAAGGUGGGGAUGACGUCAAAUCAUCAUGCCCCUUAUGACCUGGGCUACACACGUGCUACAAUGGAUGGUACAAAGGGCUGCAAGACCGCGAGGUCAAGCCAAUCCCAUAAAACCAUUCUCAGUUCGGAUUGUAGGCUGCAACUCGCCUACAUGAAGCUGGAAUCGCUAGUAAUCGCGGAUCAGCAUGCCGCGGUGAAUACGUUCCCGGGCCUUGUACACACCGCCCGUCACACCACGAGAGUUUGUAACACCCGAAGUCGGUGGAGUAACCGUAA